rnacentral:rRNA from 1 species
CAAUAGCGUAUAUUAAAAUUGUUGCGGUUAAAACGCUCGUAGUUGGAUAUCUGCUAAGGGGUUACGGUCCUUCCCAGUGAAGAAUACGCGGAACUCUUCUUGGCAUUUAUUCAGGGAAGGUGUUUGCACUUUGUUGUGUGUCACGUGAUCUGAAUUUUUACUUUGAGGAAAUGAGAGUGUUUCAAGCAGGCUUUCGCCGUGAAUAUGAUAGCAUGGAAUAAUAGCACAGGACCCCUUUCCAAAGCUGUUGGUUUUUGGAACGAGGUAAUCAGAAUAAGGAUAGUUGGGGGUAUUCGUAUUUAACUGUCAGAGGUGAAAUUCUUGGAUUUUUUAAAGACGAACUAUUGCGAAGGCAUCUGCCCAGGAUGUUUUUAUUGA